UACGUAGGGUGCAAGCGUUGUCCGGAAUUAUUGGGCGUAAAGCGCGCGUAGGUGGCUUCGUAAGUCCGUUGUGAAAGUCAAAGGCUCAACCUUUGAAAGCCGAUGGAUACUGUGAAGCUAGAGUACGGAAGAGGCGAGUGGAAUUCCUGGUGUAGCGGUGGAAUGCGCAGAUAUCAGGAGGAACACCAAUAGCGAAGGCAGCUCGCUGGGACGUUACUGACACUGAGGCGCGAAAGCGUGGGGAGCGAACAGG
rnacentral:rRNA from 1 species